rnacentral:rRNA from 1 species
AAGACCUUGCGCUUUGGGAGCGGCCGAUGUCUGAUUAGCUAGUUGGUGGGGUAAAGGCCUACCAAGGCGACGAUCAGUAGUUGGUCUGAGAGGACGACCAGCCACACUGGGACUGAGACACGGCCCAGACUCCUACGGGAGGCAGCAGUGGGGAAUUUUGGACAAUGGGCGCAAGCCUGAUCCAGCAAUGCCGCGUGAGUGAAGAAGGCCUUCGGGUUGUAAAGCUCUUUCAGUCGAGAAGAAAAAGCUGCAGUGAAUAACUGUAGUUCAUGACGGUAUCGACAGAAGAAGCACCGGCUAACUACGUGCCAGCAGCCGCGGUAAUACGUAGGGUGCAAGCGUUAAUCGGAAUUACUGGGCGUAAAGGGUGCGCAGGCGGCUUUGUAAGUCAGAUGUGAAAUCCCCGGGCUUAACCUGGGAAUU